GGGGGGGGUGGGGUAGGAGCCCCGCUGCCGCUCGUUUCCCCGGAACUUUGGACAAGCCUCUGAUUUACAGCUGAGUACCUCGGCUUGAGAUCUCUUGAGUCAAGGGCUAACCCUGUCUUCCUUCCCGCCCUGAGCGUCUUCAUUCGUUGCAGAGUCUCCACGUGCCCGGCCUGGGUGUUUCCGUUUGAACGGCGGUGUCAUUUGCUUAGAGACGGGACUCGGACUCACAUCCAUCCGACACGGAGGCUGCGCCUCCAGCCGGCAUCCUUCGGCCUCGAAGCUGGCGGCCACCUGGAGACCGGAAGCGGCAGAGCAGAGAGACAGCUGGACCGCCGCAGAUCCCUGCGCCUCCUGGAGUCCUCUGAUGCCCUCAGCCCUCCUCGCCCUCCGGUGGCUGCCCACUGCUCCGAGGACAAAGCCCAGACCGAGGCCUCUCACGCCCUCCCUGCCUCCCGGAAGGGUCUGCUGACCCCGCCUGCCUCUCUUCCGUCCUGCCGCAGCAGCCUUCUUCUCUGUUGCUCUAGCACGCAGUCCAUCCCCGCCUCAGGGCGUCUGCGCUUGCUAAUCCCUCAUCUGGAAAGUUCUUCGCUCAAAUGGCCAGUAGCUGGUUCUGCUCUGCCUUGCCUUCGCUGAGAGGGUCCCUCCCAGGAGGCACACCCCCUGAUUGGCCUGCUCCUCCAGGUGCCUGCUCAAUCCCUUCAGGGCAGGAAGCUCGACCUGCCAUUGGCUUGUUGAUUUAUGAAGCACCCUCUUCCUGACCUUCCCCUCAGCGCAGGCCGGCAGUAAAUUUCUCAAGCCUGAGCCCACGCCAGGGACCCCAGGACCCCGGAAUUCAGGAUUCUCAUGAAGGGGCCCUAAAAAGUGACAUAACGCGCAGGACGCCUGGCUUGUUUAUGACAGCGACUUUCCACGCUCCCCCUCGUGUGUCUGGCUAAGAUGAUAUCAGAAUUCAAAGACUCGGGAGAGCAGAAGCUGUAAAAAAUAAUCUUCUAUUAAGCCCCACGCUGCCCCAAAUGCAGUGGCAUUUGGAAGACGAGACCAACGCCGUUCCUUUGGAGAUAGCAGCUAUUUUCCAAUUGUACUGAUAAAAAAGGAAGACAUGAAGUAAAG
ensembl:lncRNA